UGGGGAAUAUUGGACAAUGGGGGCAACCCUGAUCCAGCAAUGCCGCGUGUGUGAAGAAGGUUUUCGGAUUGUAAAGCACUUUCGACGGGGACGAUGAUGACGGUACCCGUAGAAGAAGCCCCGGCUAACUUCGUGCCAGCAGCCGCGGUAAUACGAAGGGGGCUAGCGUUGCUCGGAAUGACUGGGCGUAAAGGGCGUGUAGGCGGUUUGUACAGUCAGAUGUGAAAUCCCCGGGCUUAACCUGGGAGCUGCAUUUGAUACGUGCAGACUAGAGUGUGAGAGAGGGUUGUGGAAUUCCCAGUGUAGAGGUGAAAUUCGUAGAUAUUGGGAAGAACACCGGUGGCGAAGGCGGCAACCUGGCUCAUAACUGACGCUGAGGCGCGAAAGCGUGGGGGAGCA
rnacentral:rRNA from 1 species